GACGAACGCUGGCGGCGUGCCUAACACAUGCAAGUCGAGCGAAUGAAGUUCCUUCGGGAACGGAUUUAGCGGCGGACGGGUGAGUAACACGUGGGCAACCUGCCUCAUAGAGGGGAAUAGCCUUCCGAAAGGGAGAUUAAUACCGCAUAAGAUUGUAGUACCGCAUGGUACAGCAAUUAAAGGAGCAAUCCGCUAUGAGAUGGGCCCGCGGCGCAUUAGCUAGGUGGUGAGGUAACGGCUCACCAAGGCGAAGAUGCGUAGCCGACCUGGGAGGGUGAUCGGCCACAUUGGGACUGAGACACGGCCCAGACUCCUACGGGAGGCAGCAGUGGGGAAUAUUGCACAAUGGGGGAAACCCUGAUGCAGCAACGCCGCGUGAGUGAUGACGGCCUUCGGGUUGUAAAGCUCUGUCUUCAGGGACGAUAAUGACGGUACCUGAGGAGGAAGCCACGGCUAACUACGUGCCAGCCGCCGCAGUAA
rnacentral:rRNA from 1 species